rnacentral:rRNA from 1 species
GACGAACGCUGGCGGCGUGCUUAACACAUGCAAGUCGAACGGAAAGGCCCUGCUUUUGUGGGGUGCUGGAGUGGCGAACGGGUGAGUAACACAUGAGUAACCUGCCCUUGCCUUUGGGAUAACUUCAGGAAACAGGGGCUAAUACCGGAUAGGAGCUCCUGCUGCAUGGUGGGGGUUGGAAAGUUUCGGCGGUUGGGGAUGGACUCGCGGCUUAUCAGCUUGUUGGUGGGGUAGUGGCUUACCAAGGCUUUGACGGGUAGCCGGCCUGAGAGGGUGACCGGCCACAUUGGGACUGAGAUACGGCCCAGACUCCUACGGGAGGCAGCAGUGGGGAAUAUUGCACAAUGGGCGGAAGCCUGAUGCAGCAACGCCGCGUGCGGGAUGACGGCCUUCGGGUUGUAAACCGCUUUCGCCUGUGACGAAGCGUGAGUGACGGUAAUGGGUAAAGAAGCACCGGCUAACUACGUG